CAAUCUUGCAUUUACUCACAUCAAAUUUUGUUUAAAUAUUCUCCAAAGAGUCUCACCAUCGAAUAAUUCUUAAUCCGCGUGACACAAGCACAUGACUUGUUUUUACUAUUAAGUUCGAAAUCCCAAAUACGUAGACAACAUGCAGAUCUUUCUGGCUGGGCGAUUUUAAAACUUGGCAAACUUGUUUCCAAACGUGAAAUGGCGAAAAUAACAAGGGGCAAAAAUAACCCUGUAACCAGUAUAAGUAUUAACUCACUAUUUAUAGUAUAGUGUUAACUUCCUUGUCAGGGAAACAAGGAAGUAGAACAUUUGAAAUUUAGAAUAUUGGUUCAUUGUCCCCUGCACUCUAUACAUGUACUAUGUAAUAUUUCACAUUUCUUCUUCAUAUAGAUAUGUUUUUCAGCUGUAGAGAUAGUUAUCAGAUUUCAUUAAUAUUUCUUCUAGUUGUUGUUUUUCCAUAUGUUCUAAAUAUGUCCAGCUGUGAUGGGAAUAAUGGAUGCUGUCUCAACUACUACUGGAAUGAAAUCUAUCAGAAUUGUUCAAAAUGUCCGAUAGGAUUCACGGGACUAAAUUGCUCAGUAAUGUGUGAAUAUCCAAACUACGGGGAAAUAUGUGAAGGGUAUUGUGAAUGUCCAAAGAAAAAAUGCAACUUUAAAUCUGGUUGUGGAGAUGUGACUUCUACUGGUAAUAAGCGUCAUAAUUAAUCAACACUUAUUAUUCUCAGUCAUAUAAAUUCAAUUGAGAUCAAUUGUUUUCAAAACUGCAUAAAACACAAAUUUUCUGCUGAGCAAUAAAAUGGACUUCUGCAAGCACCAGUAGAGAGGUCAUGUA